rnacentral:misc_RNA from 1 species
GUCGGAUUGUGGCAUGUGGGAUGAUCUCGCAGUACAACCUGGAGCAGCCCGAGGGGGUGCGAAACCUGUACUACAUCGUUACCAAGCGCCUGCGCAUGGAGGGCUUCCAUGUGUUUGACUACUAUGACAGGUACUACCGGUUCGAGGAGGAGAUGGCUGGGUACCUGAAGGAAGAAAAGGUGUCAUACGUAGAAGAUGUCGUUGAGGGGCUCGACACAGC